rnacentral:lncRNA from 1 species
CUCAUUAUGCAGACGCAAAAAUAUUACAAAAUCUAAAAUCCAAAACACUUCUGGCACCAAGUAUUUCAGAUGAGGGAUAUCCAACCUGUAUUAUUUUGAAAAGAAGGGGUAACAGCUACUUUGUACGGUCCUUUAUCUUAAAGGAAACUCUUUCAGUUUUCAUCACUGAGUAUGAUGUUUACUGUGGGCUUUUUAUAUACAACCUUUGUUAUGUUAAGGUAAUUUCCUUCUAUUACUAGUUUUGUUAGUGUUUUAUCAUGAAAGGGUGUUGAAUUUUGCCAGAUGCUUUUUCCUAUCUUCUUUCCAGUUUUUCCAACCAAGAAUGUCUUUCUCAAGGACCUUAGAGCCAUCUCUUUGAAAUGUAAUCAUGAAGGAAGAAAGCACCCCUAUUUCCCAGUCUGUCUGGAAGAGCAAGAGACUAAUUUUGGAGACCCUCAAAGAUGGUACCCCUGUGGUGAGGAAAGCACCAUCAUCAUCAAGGUCCUCUGUUGUGGCUUUUCCCUGUAGGCCAGGGAUAACUGUGAGACUUGCGGCCAGCAAAAUACUGUCCCUGAAUUCACAAGGGAUGAUGUGAUCCAGGAGUUGUGAAAUCCAAGAGAUGGCACUUAUAUUACAGGUACAAGAUGGAUAUGAAUCCUAUUUCAAAAAAAAUUGUGCUGAAGCAAUUACCAGAAUUAUGUGACCUGCAGAGAUGUUUUGCAUUGACUAAUCAAUAAUUGUCUUUCUAUAAAUGAAAGAGGUGGGCAGGUUAAUAAAGUCAUACUUGGUUUGUGUAGGUGGAAGAGCUAUAGAUCUGAUAAAGCUAAGUCUGUAUCAAAUUAUCAUAAUGGAAGCAAUGACCCCUCAACAUACUUCUAGAAUUGAACCUGUUUAUGGACCCAGAGCCUCUUUCAGAAAGUGAAGAUGGGUACUCUUAAGUAGAGACUCUGCUACAUUUUCAGUAAUUUACAUGGUAAAUAUUUCUCCUAGCUUUCUCCAAAAGAACCUAAACCAAUUUACCAAGAGACUAUACAUUAAGAAAAUAAAAAUAACCCUACUUUUUAGAAUUUACUGAACAAUAACUAUUCUCUAGAAACCUAAACUGCCACUGUGGUCCACCAGGCUGGAUAGGUCUAAAAGAGGAGGGUAAGGUCUAAUCAUCAAUGACAUUUUGGUUCAAGUCCAUCUCACAGUGAGUCUAAUGGGUUCCCAAAUCUAUCCUACAUUUAUUUCCUCAUUUCUGGAAAGCAUCUGUGGAAGAUACCUAUUCAAAAACUGGCAGAAUUUCCACAUUGGAUCUCUGACCUACGGAUUGAGGACUAUUACAAUUGGAAAUGUCAAACAGAGUCUUGAGAACUUCUUUCCCUCCCAAAGCAGUGAAACAAAAGCAAUAACACUUUCCUAGAGGGACUACCAAAGUUUGUGCCACAGUCAAGGGUGGAAGGGGUCCUAAUACAUUCCCAUUCAAAUCAUCUGUUUGGCCUGUGGAGAAGGCAGAUGGAUCUUGUAGAAUGACAUAAACUUAAUUAGGUAAU